rnacentral:rRNA from 1 species
UACGUAGGGUGCAAGCGUUGUCCGGAAUUAUUGGGCGUAAAGAGCUCGUAGGCGGUCUGUCGCGUCGGCUGUGAAAACCCGAGGCUCAACCUCGGGCCUGCAGUCGAUACGGGCAAACUAGAGUACUGCAGGGGAGACUGGAAUUCCUGGUGUAGCGGUGAAAUGCGCAGAUAUCAGGAGGAACACCGGUGGCGAAGGCGGGUCUCUGGCAGUAACUGACGCUGCGGAGCGAAAGCGUGGGGAGCGAACAGG